rnacentral:rRNA from 1 species
AGGCAACGAUGAGUAGCUGGUCUGAGAGGAUGAUCAGCCACACUGGAACUGAAACACGGUCCAGACUCCUACGGGAGGCAGCAGUGGGGAAUAUUGCGCAAUGGGCGAAAGCCUGACGCAGCAACGCCGUGUGAGGGAUGAAGGCUUUCGGGUCGUAAACCUCUGUCGGAAGGGAAGAACGGGCAUUGGUCUAAUAGGCCUUUGUUUUGACGGUACCUUUAGAGGAAGCACCGGCUAACUCCGUGCCAGCAGCCGCGGUAAUACGGAGGGUGCAAGCGUUAUUCGGAAUUACUGGGCGUAAAGCGCACGUAGGCGGCUUCGUAAGUCAGGGGUGAAAUCCCACGGCUCAACCGUGGAACUGCCUUUGAAACUGCAAAGCUUGAAUCCUGGAGAGGGUGGCGGAAUUCCUGGUGUAGGAGUGAAAUCCGUAGAUAUCAGGAGGAACACCG